GACAGAAGAGAUCACGGGCACAUGCCACCAUGCCCAAGGAUCUCAUAUACAUACAUGUAUGCACGCAUGCAUAGCAUUACCCAGGACCUUAUGAAGUCCUUCAAAGGACUGUAUUGUCUCUGUAGGUAGGGACAAUAGGAAUCACAUGUGUAUGAGGGGUGUUAUGUGCUUGUGAGUGCGGGUGCCCAGGGAAGCAAAAGGUAUUGGAUCCCCUGGACUUGGAGUUAAAAGGUUGUAUGAGCCACCUGUUGUGGGUACUGGGAAUCAAGCCUUACAACUAUCUUCUGGGAGAGCAGUGUGCUCUCUCCAGCCCUUUGUUUUUGUUUUUGAGACAGGGUAUCACUAUGUGGAGGCCUUGUCUGGCUUGGAACUCACUGUGUAGGCCAGGCUACCCUCAAACUAUUCCCACCAUACUUCACAUAGCUAUGGAAUUUUUUAACUUGAAAGGCAGAAGAAUUUAAUGGUAUUUAAACAUGUAUAGAUAAAAAAAUUGUGGGUUACAAAGAGAAAUUUUGAAAGGACUGUUAAAUCCUUCAGGCUAAUUCAUGACUUGAAGGGGUGAGUGAAGUGUGGGCUUUAAUACUUAAGGACACUACAUAAUCAUUCACCUUCAAAGAAGCAGUGGAGGCUAACUUUUAAGUACCUGUAAAUAAAUUAAUGUACUAUAUAUAAACACCAGGGGCAGAAAAUUGAUUAAAGGUAAUAGAAUUACUGUGUUUUGAGGUAUUUGAUUUUUUUUUUUUUUCAAGACAGGGUCUCAUGUAGUCCAGGCCAGCCUUAAACUCAUGAUCUUCUUUCCUCUGCCUUAUAGAUGCUGGGAUUACUGGCAUGAGUCACCAUGUCCUGCUUCUUUGUGGUUUGUUUGAUGUUUCUGUUGUCCUUAGAGACUCAUGUAAGGUAUCACUGUUGGUAGGACCGGCGAUUACAUAAGCUGAAGAAAACACCUUGUUAAAGCUCCUCCGGACAGUGCACAGGUAGAAAGGUACUUCAUCCUGAGGAGCCACAGGAUAGGACUUACUCCCUCCCACAGUUGUGCUCUGACUGCUCCCCACACACACUAAUUAAAGAUACUUUAUCUCAAAUGUUUGUAUCUUAAGAAAGAUGUAUCUGCAGAUGAUCACAAAUGUUAGUCUUGCUACAUUCAACAUAAGCUUAGUAAAUGCUAGUGGGAGGCACAGAGUUUAAGAUUAACCUGAAGCCCUCUUAAGAUGUAUAGCCAAUUCCUCUCUUUUAUUUAAAUAGCAUCUUUAUACUAUAACAGUUAUUUUGAUCAGCUGCUUCUUUCUCUCUAGGCCCCUCGAUUGAAUUUAAAGACUCCCCUAGAUUGAUUGUGUCCCUCAACAUAAACAAACUGAGAAAGGGAUGAGCCGGGUAGCAACUGAUCCUUGGAGUUUUAGAUUUGUGACUCCUUUCAUGUGUACUUUAUAGAAAACCAAUUAAAUUAAAGGUGUUUGGAAAACUUAAUGAUAACCUUUUUUGUGUUGACUUUUAAUUCUUUGGGAAUGUUUCUUAAAUAGUGACUUAUAUUAGCUGCUGGAAUUAUAAUGCCAAGCUUUAGAUGUUUUAUUUGGAAUAUAAUGUUAUAUGGAUGCUUUUGUCACGCAUGUGAUUCUUUUGUUCUUGUUGCAAUAAAGUAUUUUGGUUUUUCUUU
rnacentral:lncRNA from 1 species